AUUAAUUUGGACUACUAUAUAUUAUUAGGUUUUGCAUCUUUCCACUUUUUUCAUUCCUUUCUUACCUUCCUUUGGACUGAUUAUGGUCUCUGAUAUUUUUCUCUCAGAGUUUACAAAUCAUACAUGCUUUCUCGUUGUUCAGUGAUAUUUUGCUGCACCUGCUUAGCUUAGCAAAGUUAACAGAAAUAGAGUGGCUUACCUGGAGGAGAAGUCCAGAAGCUCAGGACACGCUGUGCAGCCCAGACGUCCCAGAGUCUCAGGCACAAAUUGCUAGUGUCACUUCCCUCCUGCCUGAAGUCCUUUGGUGGACUCUCAAUCCGGCUCUCACCAGACACCCUCGAGGCCAGGCCCUGGACCGGGACGAGGACAAUAGCAGCACACUUACCACUUACCGGGAGGUCAGGAACAUCCAGUUCCCUCUGCUCCAG
rnacentral:lncRNA from 1 species